AGAAUCAACGCUGGCGGCGUGCCUCAGACAUGCAAGUCGAACGCGAAAGUCCCCUUCGGGGGCAAGUAGAGUGGCGCACGGGUGAGUAACACGUAGGUAAUCUACCUUUGGAUGGGGAAUAACAGUCGGAAACAGCUGCUAAUACCGCAUAAUGCAGCGGCACCUAAUGGUGACAGUUGUUAAAGCGGGGGAUCGAAAGACCUCGCGUCUGAAGAGGAGCCUGCGGCGGAUUAGCUAGUUGGUAAGGUAAUGGCUUACCAAGGCUACGAUCC
rnacentral:rRNA from 1 species